GGUAUACUUCCUCCGUCCCAAAAUUCUUGUCUUAGAUUUGUCUAAAUAUGGAUGUAUCUAGUCAUGUUAUAGUAUUUAGAUACAUCUAUUUUUAAACAAACCUAAGACAAGAAUUUUGGAAAGGAGGGAGUAUUUU
rnacentral:pre_miRNA from 1 species